rnacentral:rRNA from 1 species
CCUACGGGAGGCAGCAGUGAGGAAUAUUGGUCAAUGGGCGCGAGCCUGAACCAGCCAAGUAGCGUGAAGGAUGACUGCCCUACGGGUUGUAAACUUCUUUUAUAAAGGAAUAAAGUGAGGCACGUGUGCCUUUUUGUAUGUACUUUAUGAAUAAGGAUCGGCUAACACCGUGCCAGCAGCCGCGGUAAUACGGAGGCUCCGAGCGUUAUCCGGAUUUAUUGGGUUUAAAGGGAGCGUAGAUGGGUUGUUAAGUCAGUUGUGAAAGUGUGCGGCUUAACCGUAAAAUUGCAAUUGAUACUGGAAGCCUUGAGUACAGUUGAGGGAGGCGGAAUUCGUGGUGUAGCGGUGAAAUGCUUAGAUAUCACGAAGAACGCCGAUUGCGAAGGCAGCUUACUAAACUGCCACUGACAUUGAUGCUCGAAAGUGUGGGUAUCAAACAGGAGUAGAUACCCUAGUAGUC